UCUAUAGCGUAAUGGAUAGCGCAUUGGACUUCUAAUCCAAAGGUUGUGGGUUCAGAUAACACCUGGAAAG